rnacentral:rRNA from 1 species
UACGGAGGGUGCAAGCGUUAUCCGGAUUCACUGGGCGUAAAGGGCGCGUAGGCGGUCGGACAAGUGGAAGGUGAAAUCCCCGGGCUCAACCUGGGAACUGCCCUCCAAACUGUUUGACUUGAGUCCGGGAGAGGUGAGUGGAAUUCCCAGUGUAGCGGUGAAAUGCGUAGAUAUUGGGAGGAACACCAGUGGCGAAGGCGGCUCACUGGACCGGAACUGACGCUGAGGCGCGAAAGCGUGGGGAGCGAACAGG